UACGGGGGGAGCAAGCGUUGUUCGGAUUUACUGGGCGUAAAGGGCGCGUAGGCGGUCACGACAAGUCAGUUGGGAAAUCUCCGGGCUUAACUCGGAACGGUCAACUGAUACUGUCGGACUAGAGUGCAGAAGGGGCAACUGGAAUUCUCGGUGUAGCGGUGAAAUGCGUAGAUAUCGAGAGGAACACCUGCGGCGAAGGCGGGUUGCUGGGCUGACACUGACGCUGAGGCGCGAAAGCUAGGGGAGCGAACGGG
rnacentral:rRNA from 1 species